UGGGGAAUUUUGGACAAUGGGGGCAACCCUGAUCCAGCCAUCCCGCGUGUGCGAUGAAGGCCUUCGGGUUGUAAAGCACUUUUGGCAGGGAAGAAACAGCCUGGGAUAAUACCCCGGGCGACUGACGGUACCUGCAGAAUAAGCACCGGCUAACUACGUGCCAGCAGCCGCGGUAAUACGUAGGGUGCAAGCGUUAAUCGGAAUUACUGGGCGUAAAGCGUGCGCAGGCGGUUCGGAAAGAAAGGUGUGAAAUCCCGGGGCUUAACCUUGGAACUGCACUUUUAACUACCGAGCUAGAGUACGUCAGAGGGGGGUAGAAUUCCACGUGUAGCAGUGAAAUGCGUAGAGAUGUGGAGGAAUACCGAUGGCGAAGGCAGCCCCUGGGAUGAUACUGACGCUCAUGCACGAAAGCGUGGGGAGCAAACAGGAUUAGAUACCCUGGUAGUCCACGCCCUAAACGAUGUCAACUAGCUGUUGGGGUUUAUUAACCUUAGUAGCGCAGCUAACGCGUGAAGUUGACCGCCUGGGGAGUACGGUCGCAAGAUU
rnacentral:rRNA from 1 species